GGCAGAGGGAGCCGAGUUCCCGCGGGCACGGUGUCACCGACACCGCCGUGAGGAAAGUCCCCCCACCGUCCGGGCGGGCGACCGGGCGCAAGCCCGGAGCGGGAGACCGCUGGCUCUGGAACAGAAACGAGACCCCUCCGCCCCACCGAUGAGGUGCGCGAACCCCGACCGACCGAAGGCAACCGCCGAGCGAAGGAACGGGGAGGCAACCCACCGAGGACCGCGUUCCGGCGAAGCCUGAACGCGUCGGGGCGGAGAACGGAUGGAACGGCGAAUCCUCGCCGGUGCAAGUCCGCGCCUGGGCGAUGGACUCCAUCGCCCGGUAGCCCGGACGUCGGCGCGGACGCUCAGCCGAAUACUCGGACGAACAGAAGGGGGCUUACUCCCCUCAGCC
rnacentral:RNase_P_RNA from 1 species